rnacentral:rRNA from 1 species
GAUGAACGCUAGCGAUAGGCUUAACACAUGCAAGUCGAGGGGCAGCGCAAGGUAGCUUGCUAUCUGGGUGGCGACCGGCGCACGGGUGCGUAACGCGUAUGCAACUUGCCCUAUACAGGAGGAUAACCCGUCGAAAGACGGACUAAUACUGCGUAUGCUCACAACUUGGCAUCAAGUGGUGAGGAAAGAAAUUCGGUAUAGGAUAGGCAUGCGUCCCAUUAGCUUGUUGGUGAGGUAACGGCUCACCAAGGCAACGAUGGGUAGGGGAACUGAGAGGUUUAUCCCCCACACUGGUACUGAGACACGGACCAGACUCCUACGGGAGGCAGCAGUGAGGAAUAUUGGUCAAUGGGCGCGAGCCUGAACCAGCCAAGUCGCGUGAAGGAUGACUGUCUUAUGGAUUGUAAACUUCUUUUAUACGGGAAUAACAAGAGUCACGUGUGACUCCCUGCAUGUACCGUAUGAAUAAGCAUCGGCUAACUCCGUG